UACGGAGGAUGCAGGCGUUAUCCGGAUUUAUUGGGUUUAAAGGGUGCGUAGGCGGCUUGUUAAGCGGGAGGUGAAAUGCCGGCGCUCAACGUCGGAAGUGCCUCCCGAACUGGCGAGCUCGAAUAGCCCUGCCGUGGGAGGAAUGUGUGGUGUAGCGGUGAAAUGCAUAGAGAUCACACAGAACACCGAUUGCGAAGGCAUCUCACGAAGGGCCGAUUGACGCUGAGGCACGAAAGCGUGGGGAUCAAAC
rnacentral:rRNA from 1 species